rnacentral:rRNA from 1 species
GACGAACGCUGGCGGCGUGCUUAACACAUGCAAGUCGAACGGAAAGGCCCUGCUUUUGUGGGGUGCUCGAGUGGCGAACGGGUGAGUAACACGUGAGUAACCUGCCCUUGACUUUGGGAUAACUUCAGGAAACUGGGGCUAAUACCGGAUAGGAGCUCCUGCUGCAUGGUGGGGGUUGGAAAGUUUCGGCGGUUGGGGAUGGACUCGCGGCUUAUCAGCUUGUUGGUGGGGUAGUGGCUUACCAAGGCUUUGACGGGUAGCCGGCCUGAGAGGGUGAACGGCCACAUUGGGACUGAGAUACGGCCCAGACUCCUACGGGAGGCAGCAGUGGGGAAUAUUGCACAGUGGGCGGAAGCCUGAUGCAGCAACGCCGCGUGCGGGAUGACGGCCUUCGGGUUGUAAACCGCUUUCGCCUGUGACGAAGCGUGAGUGACGGUAAUGGGUAAAGAAGCACCGGCUAACUACGUG